rnacentral:rRNA from 1 species
AAAACUUUCAACAACGGAUCUCUUGGUUCUGGCAUCGAUGAAGAACGCAGCGAAAUGCGAUAAGUAAUGUGAAUUGCAGAAUUCAGUGAAUCAUCGAAUCUUUGAACGCACAUUGCGCCCCUUGGUAUUCCGAGGGGCAUGCCUGUUCGAGCGUUAUAU